AGUUUGAUAUUGUCCUUUUAGACGGCGGCAAGCACUACAUCUCCCCAAGAAAUUUUAUGGUGGUGUUGGGAACGGAGCCCAGGCUGCCUGCGCCCCAGCCUGAUGUUUGGCUGUAAAAUAACACCACCUUCGUUAGCCAGAGGAUGACUAAGCUGUCCUCGUAGCAUUCUGCGAUGGUAAAUCUUCCUCCUCCCACUGAUGAUGGUUGUGUUCACGGUACCCAACUGAUUGCCAAAAGUUAGCAGACAGGGCAACAUCGGAGAGUCUUGUACCAGCCUGUGGAAAUGGUUGGAAAAAGUCAACUUUUCUGAUGGUUAGAAGAGCAGGAUUGUUUACCCUCUUCCUUUAGCUGUGUCUUCAGUUAAGAGGCUCACAGAAUCGCUGAGGUUGGAAGGCACCUCUGGAGAUCGUGCAGACCGACCCCUGCUCGGAGCUGGCUGCCCUCAGCCUCCGUGUUGCCUGAUGCUUGGACUGUAUAGUUAGGAAAAUCCAGAAUUCAGUAUUCUUGAUGGGGAGAGCACUGCUGAAGGUUAAGAAAACAACACACCUAAGUUAUUUAAUAUGUUGAAAUCCUGAUGUGUACACACUCAUCCUCCUGCUGAGCUUAAUGGAAAUGUGUGUGUAUUCCUCUGACCUAGGACACCGUUUAGUCACUGUCUUUGUAUUCUUAUAAAUGUAAAGUGUCUUGAUUGUAAUAGAACUAUUUAUUUUGCCUCUUUUUCCCCUUUCAUCACUGAUUCCCUUUUCUACCCUGAAGAGAAUUAAAUUUCCUACCUGUAAACUCAACUGCUGUUGCAGCAAGUUGAAAGACAGGAUGCU